rnacentral:rRNA from 1 species
AUUGAACGCUGGCGGCAGGCUUAACACAUGCAAGUCGAGCGGGGGAGGUUGCUUCGGUAACUGACCUAGCGGCGGACGGGUGAGUAAUACUUAGGAAUCUGCCUAUUAAUGGGGGACAACAUCUCGAAAGGGAUGCCAAUACCGCAUACGCCCUACGGGGGAAAGCAGGGGAUCACUUGUGACCUUGGGUUAAUAGAUGAGCCUAAGUCGGAUUAGCUAAUUGGUGGGGUAAAGGCCUACCAAGGCGACGAUCUGUAGCGGGUCUGAGAGGAUGAUCCGCCACACUGGGACUGAGACACGGCCCAGACUCCUACGGGAGGCAGCAGUGGGGAAUAUUGGACAAUGGGCGAAAGCCUGACGCAGCGACGCCGCGUGGAGGAUGAAGGUCUUAGGAUUGUAAACUCCUGUCAGGUGGGAAGAAAAGCUUAUUUCUAAUAAAUAUAGGUAAUGACUGUACCAUCAGAGGAAGCACUGGCUAACCUCGUGCCAGCAGCCGCGGUAACAC